rnacentral:rRNA from 1 species
AACGAACGUUAGCGGCGCGCUUAACACAUGCAAGUCGAACGAGAAAGCACCUUCGGGUGUGAGUAAAGUGGCGCACGGGUGAGUAACACGUAGGUAAUCUACCUAUUGGUGGGGGACAACAUCCUGAAAGGGGUGCUAAUACCGCAUAAGUCCACUUCGGUGGGGAAAGGCGGCUUCGGCUGUCGCCAAUAGAUGAGCCUGCGGCCCAUCAGCUAGUUGGUAGGGUAAAGGCCUACCAAGGCAAAGACGGGUAGCUGAUCUGAGAGGAUGAUCAGUCACACUGGAACUGAGACACGGUCCAGACUCCUACGGGAGGCAGCAGUGGGGAAUAUUGCGCAAUGGGCGAAAGCCUGACGCAGCGACGCCGCGUGGGUGAUGAAGGUUUUCGGAUCGUAAAGCCCUGUCGGAGAGGGAAUAACAACUUUGGAGCAAAUAACCCCAGAGCCUGAAGGUACCUCUUCAGAAAGCACCGGCUAACUCCGUGCCAGCAGCCGCGGUAAUACGGAGGGUGCAAACGUUGUUCGGAAUUACUGGGCGUAAAGCGCGUGUAGGCGGCACGUUAAGUCAGAUGUGAAAUCCCUCGGCUCAACCGAGGAAGUGCAUUUGAAACUGGCGAGCUAGAGUACGGGAGAGGGUUGUAGAAUUCCCGGUGUAGAGGUGAGAUUCGUAGAUAUCGGGAGGAAUACCGGUGGCGAAGGCGGCAACCUGGACCGAUACUGACGCUGAGACGCGAA